GCCACUGUAGCUCAGCUGGUAGAGCGAUUCCUUCGUAAGGAAGUGGUCCCCGGUUCAAGUCCGGGCAGUGGCUCCA
rnacentral:tRNA from 1 species